GACGAACGCUGGCGGCGUGCUUAACACAUGCAAGUCGAGCGGUAAGGCCCUUCGGGUACACGAGCGGCGAACGGGUGAGUAACACGUGGUGACCUGCCUCUAGCUCUGGGAUAAGCCUGGGAAACUGGGUCUAAUACCGGAUAUGACUCCACGGCGCAUGUUGUGGGGUGGAAAGCCUUGUGUGGCUAGAGAUGGGCCCGCGGCCUAUCAGCUUGGUUGGUGGGGUGAUGGCCUACCAAGGCGACGACGGUAGCCGGCCUGAGAGGGCGACCGGCCACACUGGGACUGAGACACGGCCCAGACUCCUACGGGAGGCAGCAGUGGGGAAUCUUGCGCAAUGGGCGAAAGCCUGACGCAGCGACGCCGCGUGAGGGAUGACGGCCUCG
rnacentral:rRNA from 1 species